GUGGGGAAUCUUGCGCAAUGGGGGCAACCCUGACGCAGCCAUGCCGCGUGAAUGAUGAAGGCCUUAGGGUUGUAAAGUUCUUUUGCCCGUGACGAUGAUGACGGUAACGGGAGAAUAAGCCACGGCUAACUACGUGCCAGCAGCCGCGGUAAUACGUAGGUGGCAAGCGUGGUCCGGAUUUACUGGGUGUAAAGGGCGCGUAGGCGGGAAGGCAAGUAAGAUGUGAAAUCCCCAGGCUUAACCUGGGAACUGCAUUUGAAACUGUUUUUCUUGAGUGAUGGAGAGGCAAGUGGAAUUCCAAGUGUAGCGGUGAAAUGCGUAGAGAUUUGGAAGAACACCAGUGGCGAAGGCGACUUUCUGGACGAUGUCUGACGCUGAGGCGCGAAAGCUAGGGGAGCGAACGGGAUUAGAAACCCGAGUAGUCC
rnacentral:rRNA from 1 species